rnacentral:rRNA from 1 species
CCUACGGGAGGCAGCAGUAGGGAAUCUUUCACAAUGGGCGAAAGCCUGAUGGAGCAACGCCGCGUGCGGGAUGAAGGCCUUCGGGUUGUAAACUGCUUUUAUAAGCGAGCAAUAUGAUGUUCACUUAUGAAUAAGGAUCGGCUGACUCCGUGCCAGCAGCCGCGGUCAUACGUAGGAUCCGAGCCUUAUCCGGAGUGACUGGGUGUAAAGAGUUGCGUAGGUUGAAUAAUAAGUAGCUAGUGAAAUCUGGUGGCUCAACCAUUCAGACUAUUAGCUAAACUGUUAAGCUCGAGACAGUGAGGGGGAACUGGAAUUUCUAGUGUAGGAGUGAAAUCCGUAGAUAUUAGAAGGAACACCAAGAGCGUAGGCAGGUUACUGGGACGGUUCUGACACUAAGGCACGAAAGCGUAGGGAGCAAACGGGAUUAGAUACCCCGGUAGUC